UACGUAGGGUGCAAGCGUUGUCCGGAAUUAUUGGGCGUAAAGAGCUCGUAGGCGGUCUGUCGCGUCGGCUGUGAAAACCCGGGGCUCAACCCCGGGCCUGCAGUCGAUACGGGCAGACUAGAGUGCGGUAGGGGAGACUGGAAUUCCUGGUGUAGCGGUGAAAUGCGCAGAUAUCGGGAGGAACACCGGUGGCGAAGGCGGUUCUCUGGGCCGUACCUGACGCUGAGGAGCGAAAGCGUGGGGAGCGAACAGG
rnacentral:rRNA from 1 species